rnacentral:rRNA from 1 species
GGGGAAUUUUGGACAAUGGGCGCAAGCCUGAUCCAGCAAUGCCGCGUGCAGGAAGAAGGCCUUCGGGUUGUAAACUGCUUUUGUCAGGGAAGAAAUCUUCUGGGUUAAUACCUCGGGAGGAUGACGGUACCUGAAGAAUAAGCACCGGCUAACUACGUGCCAGCAGCCGCGGUAAUACGUAGGGUGCGAGCGUUAAUCGGAAUUACUGGGCGUAAAGCGUGCGCAGGCGGCUUUGCAAGACAGAUGUGAAAUCCCCGGGCUCAACCUGGGAACUGCAUUUGUGACUGCAAGGCUAGAGUACGGCAGAGGGGGAUGGAAUUCCGCGUGUAGCAGUGAAAUGCGUAGAUAUGCGGAGGAACACCAAUGGCGAAGGCAAUCCCCUGGGCCUGUACUGACGCUCAUGCACGAAAGCGUGGGGAGCAAAC